rnacentral:tRNA from 1 species
GCCCCGUUAGCUCAGUUGGUAGAGCAUCAGACUUUUAAUCUGAGGGCCAUGGGUUCGAGUCCCAUAUCGGGCU